UACGUAGGGGGGCGAGCGUUGUCCGGAUUCAUUGGGCGUAAAGCGCGGGCAGGCGGCCCGCUCAGUCGGCCGUGAAAGCGCCGGGCUCAACUCGGCGAGGUCGGGCGAUACUGGCGGGCUGGAGGCUGGUAGAGGGCGGUGGAAUUCCGGGUGUAGUGGUGGAAUGCGUAGAGCUCCGGAGGAACACCGGUGGCGAAGGCGGCUCUCUGGACCACAACUGACGCUGAGGCGCGAAAGCUAGGGGAGCAAACAGG
rnacentral:rRNA from 1 species